AUUGAACGCUGGCGGCAGGCCUAACACAUGCAAGUCGAACGAGUGGCGGACGGGUGAGUAAUGUCUGGGAAACUGCCCGAUGGCGGGGGAUAACUACUGGAAACGGUAGCUAAUACCGCAUACCCUCGGAUGUGCCCAGAUGGGUUUAGCGAGUAGGUGGGGUAACGGCUCACCUAGACGACGAUCCCUAGCUGGUCUUAGAGGAUGACCAGCGACGCCGGAACUGAGACACGGUCCCAACUCCAACGGGGGGCAGCAGUGGGAAAUAUUGCACAAUGGGCUCAAGCCUGAUGCAGCCAUGCCCCGUGUAUGAAGAAGGCCUUCGGGUUGUAAAGUACUUUCAGCGAGGAGGCGUUACUCGCAGAGGAAGCACCGGCUAACUCCGUGCCAGCAGCCGCAGUGAUUC
rnacentral:rRNA from 1 species